rnacentral:rRNA from 1 species
UACGUAGGUGGCAAGCGUUGUCCGGAUUUACUGGGCGUAAAGAGCGCGCAGGCGGUCGGUCAAGUCGCGUGUGAAAGCCCCCGGCUCAACUGGGGAGGGUCACGCGAUACUGAUCGACUCGAAGGCAGGAGAGGGAAGUGGAAUUCCCGGUGUAGUGGUGAAAUGCGUAGAUAUCGGGAGGAACACCAGUGGCGAAGGCGACUUCCUGGCCUGCUCUUGACGCUGAGGCGCGAAAGCUAGGGGAGCAAACGGG